ACCCGUGCUACCAGGGGAGGAUUUUAAAUCAAACAAGAGUUUGUCAACUCAUGUUUCUGUUGUUUCAGUCCCUUCUCCUCCUCCUUUCUUUUCCUCUGUUCUUCCCUUGCUUUUCUUCUUUCAUUUUCCAAGAUGAUUGACACACACAGAAUUUGCUUCAGGAACUCUUAGAAGACUUUCUGACUUUACUCAUCACAAAUCAGUUUUUUGUUUGUGAAAGAUUUAUACUUUACUUGAGAGUGAUUUCUAACACAAGCAAUGUCACACUGGACCUGGCAGAAUUAGAGGGAAAAGCAUUCAUCAGAUGGGAAUGGGGGUGGAGACUCCAGGUUCACAAGCAGCUGUGGCAAGUUCACAGGCCAGACCUCAGAAGCAGUUAGUCAUUUACCGUAAACCAGUGUACUGGUCAAAAUGUUCCUUCCCACUGAGAUAAAAGACACUUUCUAAGUUUUUAUCUCUACAGUUCUAUCCUUGUAUUUUCUUCUCAUUGCAUUGAUUUGUCUUUAUAUUUUUGCCAUUUCUACAGUACUUACGAGUUUAGUUUUACUGCUGGUGUUGUACAGGUUUUCAUACAUUUUUCAACUUGCAAUUCUCAUGUUUUUUGAUACUUCCAGAUAAAAGAGGAAAUAAGACUGCUUAACAAGAUCAUGUUUUUCACCCACGACUAAGGUGCAACAACCAGAAUCAGGCUGCAACUAGAAUCUGGGAACUCAAUCCACAUCUCCCACAAGAGUUCCAGUGGCCCAAGAGCCUGAGGCAUCACUUUCUUCCCCAAGGAUGCGCAUUAGCAGGGAAUUGAAAUGGAGAGCAGAACAAAAGCUCAAACCCAGGUACUCUGGUAUGUAAUGUGGAUGUCUCAAGCAGAGGUUUAACAGCUGUGCCAAACUCCUGAACAACUUAUCUAAGUUUUGUGCAAUCACUGUGAAUGGUCUUUCUCAUAGGUGUUCAUAGACACAUUUCAAUGGGUUGGCAAUAUGCUCUAGACUUUAUUCAAUCAACAUACCAGUUCAAUUUGUCUUCAACAUGGUUCUAAAGAUACAAGUAAAAUAUUUUAUUGUUUUCCAAUUCACCAUGUUCUCAAUCUACUGAGUGUAUUUUUUUCUCCUGAUAUUGUGUAUACAUUAUCUUUUGCUUUAUAUUUGAAAUGAAUAAUGUGCAACUCUCCUUUCUCUCAUACUAUGCAACACAUGAUUCUGAACUUGUUUACUUUUGAUAUAGUAACAACAUACAUACUAUUAGUAAAAUGGUGCAUUCUUAUCUGUGGUGCCAUCGUAAGCCCCAAGCACCAUCUUAGGCUCUGGACCCAUCCUCAUUUUGCACAGUUAGCAUCAGUCCUAAGCCCAUACUGACCUGCUAGAAGUCGGGUGACGAAAUCGCCCAACCACAAACAUUAGCUCCACACCUCCCUUAAUGGGAUUCGCUGCACCCACUUCCCUACCCCCUGCAAGAGUAUAACAGGACAUGCUUCCUGCACACGGGCUCUCUCUCUUGACCUCUCUCUUAAUGCAUUUUCCCUUCUCACCUCUGUCCCCCUCUCCCUCAGCUUGUGGGGUUUCUCCCACAGACAAUAAACCCUUCCUUUAACUCUGGUGUUUGGUGUGUCUUGUGGUGUCCUUACACAUAUUAAACAUUUGAUUCUUCUUUUAAAAAUGAAGAGUAAACAAAGAGAAAGCACAUUCCAAUGUAUCAAGAUGUUUAUUCACAUAUUUUUACAUAUUAAUAAUAAAAUUAUUGGGGCCUGCGCUGUGGUGUAGCAGGCAAAGCCACCUACUGCAGUGCCAGCAUCCCUCAUGGGUGCUGGUUCGAGUCCUGGACACUCUACUUCCGAUCCUGCUCUCUGCUAUGGCCUGGGAAAGCGGUGGAAGACGGCCUGAGUCCUUGGGCCCCUGAACCCAUAUGUGAGACCUGGAAAAUGCUCCUGGCUCCUGGCUUCAGAUCUGCAUGGCUCCGGCCAUAGCAGCCAAUUGAGGAGUGAACCAGUGGAUGGAAGACCUCUCUCUCUCUCUCUCUCUCUCUGCCUCUCCUCCUUUCUCUGUGUAACUCUGACUUUCAAAUAAAUAAAUCUUUAAAAAAUAAUAAUAAUAAAUUAUCGAUCUGCAGUGCAAUGUACUUAGUUAGCAGCUAUUAUUAAUUUUAACUAGAUUUUCUUUUUUCAGAUUCAUCUCCCUACCCUGUUUAUAAAACAAAUACUUUGUUCCAGGCUUAUUUUCUGUGUGUACUUACAUUAUGAGUGUUUGAACAUUGCAAUUUCUAUUAUAAAGCUGUUGUAAUUCCAUUUAGAAAUAUUGAUAAAAUUUAAUCAAUCUCUUUCUUUAAUGCCUUGGAGGUACUUUUUGCUUGUUUGCUUCCAAUGUCUUCUUAUAAUCAAUGAAUGUGAAGUAGUUUGAAAUUCAAUAUUGCUGGCAGUUUUCCUUUAACUGGUGGAACUAAUGUUUGUAGCCCAUAGUUUCCUAUCACAGAAAAACUCUAAAUUUUAUUCCUACUUAUUUAAAGUUUGAGGUCUGGGCAAUUAAUUCGAGAAGUACCUCAGUGUUGGUAUGUGGUUAUCACAACGUGCCAGAGAGUCAGAAAUGGUUAACAAAGAUUUUCCACAUUUCAAAAAGAAAAUACAUUUAAGUAAGGACAAUGCAAAGUUUCUGUAUUUAUGGAAUAUCUACUUAAAAUUUUUUCUUACAUAUGGACAAUAUCACACAUCAGAGUCAGGCUCAUUCAGUAGAAAUGAGAGAUGGUUUUAAAUGAUUCUGGUGAAUUAUUUUAUUGAGUGAAGUACGAUUGUAUUUUGGCUGAGGUGUGCUUCUCAAUCACCUCAUACUUUACAAUGUUAGAAAUAAUGUGUGUUAAAUGAGUUAAUAAAAGUAUAUAAAAAUUAAGGUAUUACAUCUUGUUUAUAUACUACUCAAACUUAAAAAAGAAUGAAAUCCUGUCUUUCACAACACAAUGGAUACAAUUGGAAACUAUUAUGCUUAGUGAAAUAAGUCAGUCCCCCAAAGACUAAUGUCAUAUAUUGUUCAUGAUUUGUGGUAAUUAAUAUCCAGAACAUAAAGAUGUAAUGUAUAUAUGAGCAAAAUUGACAUUUUGAUAUUUGAUUAUUAUUUAUGACCCUGUCUAUACUCUUGAGAAACAGUGCUUUUUCCACUUACUACAUGUUGUUUCUUUAUUUAGUGGAGGGUUAAGCUUGUUAUUAUAAAGUGAAUUGAAAGUAUGUCAUUGUAAAAUUUAAAUAAAAAUAGACAGGAAGGAGGAAGGAAAGGAGGGAGGGAGGGGAGGAUAGGGAAUAUCAUUAUACUCUGAAAGCUGUAUAUAUGAAGCACAUAAAUUUGUUUCACUUACAUAAAUUAAAAAGAUAUUACAAACAUACAAAUAAAAUUUAUGUAUAUACUACUAUAUAGCAGUGAAAGUAAGGAAAAUACAGUUAUACAAUGCAACAUGGAUAAAUCUUAGAAACUCAUUAGCAAAAGCAACAUAAAGGCAAGCACAAAAUGUGAUGCAUGCUUACCAAAUUGAAAACACCAUAAAUACAUAUGACUUCGAAAAACUGUUAGGUGUCAAACAUUAUAAAAACAAAAUGAGGCAACACCAGCAUUAAUUCUAAUAUAUUGGUUACCUUUGGUGGGGAGGCAGAAUUUUUGAUCAAGCCAUGAAAAUCUGAGGAAUUGCAACAGUUGGGGUAAUGUACAGUUUCAUAGGAGGAUGAGUUAGUAGAUAAGUAAAUCAAACUACUCUUUCUAAAAAUUAAUAGAACUUUAGUUUACUAUUUCUUAGCAUGUAAAAUAUGUAUAAUUUUCUAAUAAAAUAUUUACAAAUUUUAAAAAAGUUGUUUUGGUUAUCAUUAGCUUUAUGU